UGGCGACCGGCGCACGGGUGCGUAACGUGUAUAGCAACCUGCCCCCAAUCAGGGGGAAUAGCCGCGAAAGGCGGAUUAAUGCCCCAUAGGCCCAGGGCGCCGCAUGGCGCUAUGGGUAAAGCUCCGGCGGAUGGGGAUGGGCAUGCGUGCCAUUAGCUAGUUGGGCGGUAACGGCGCACCAAGGCGACGAUGGCUAGGGGGUCUGAGAGGAUGGUCCCCCACACUGGUACUGAGACACGGACCAGACUCCUACGGGAGGCAGCAGUGAGGAAUAUUGGUCAAUGGGCGGAAGCCUGAACCAGCCAUUGCCGCGUGCAGGAUGACGGCCCUACGGGUUGUAAACUGCUUUUCCCCGGGAAGAAUAAGCCCCUCGUGAGGGGUGAUGCCGGUACCGGGGGAAUAAGGAUCGGCUAACUCCGUGCCAGCCGCAGC
rnacentral:rRNA from 1 species